AACAGAAAGCAGCUUGCUGCUUUGCUGACGAGUGGCGGACGGGUGAGUAAUGUCUGGGAAACUGCCUGAUGGAGGGGGAUAACUACUGGAAACGGUAGCUAAUACCGCAUAACGUCGCAAGACCGAAGAGGGGGACCUUCGGGCCUCUUGCCAUCGGAUGUGCCCAGAUGGGAUUAGCUAGUAGGUGGGGUAACGGCUCACCUAGGCGACGAUCCCUAGCUGGUCUGAGAGGAUGACCAGCCACACUGGAACUGAGACACGGUCCAGACUCCUACGGGAGGCAGCAGUGGGGAAUAUUGCACAAUGGGCGCAAGCCUGAUGCAGCCAUGCCGCGUGUAUGAAGAAGGCCUUCGGGUUGUAAAGUACUUUCAGCGGGGAGGAAGGGAGUAAAGUUAAUACCUUUGCUCAUUGACGUUACCCGCACAAGAAGCACCGGCUAACUCCGUGCCAGCAGCCGCGGUAAUACUGAGGGUGCAAGCGUUAAUCGGAAUUACUGGGCGUAAA
rnacentral:rRNA from 1 species